rnacentral:rRNA from 1 species
GAUGAACGCUAGCGGUAGGCUUAACACAUGCAAGUCGAGGGGCAGCACGAAUAGCAAUAUUUGGUGGCGACCGGCGCACGGGUGAGUAACGCGUAUGCAACCUACCUAUAACUGGAGAAUAGCCCUCGGAAACGGGGAUUAAUGUUCCAUAACGUUCAGGUGCCGCAUGGUACUUGGACUAAAGCUCAGGCGGUUAUAGAUGGGCAUGCGUGACAUUAGCUUGUUGGUGAGGUAACGGCUCACCAAGGCUACGAUGUCUAGGGGGUCUUAAAGGAUGAUCCCCCACACUGGUACUGAGACACGGACCAGACUCCUACGGGUGGCUG